rnacentral:misc_RNA from 1 species
GGGGACUACCCGGGUAUCUAAUCCUGUUUGCUCCCCACGCUUUCGUGCCUCAGCGUCAGUACCGAGCCAGUGAGCCGCCUUCGCCACUGGUGUUCCUCCGAAUAUCUACGAAUUUCACCUCUACACUCGGAAUUCCACUCACCUCUCUCGGACUCGAGAUUGCCAGUAUUAGAGGCAGUUCCAGGGUUGAGCCCUGGGAUUUCACCCCUAACUUAACAAUCCGCCUACGUGCGCUUUACGCCCAGUAAUUCCGAACAACGCUAGCCCCCUUCGUAUUACCGCGGCGGCUGGCAC